rnacentral:rRNA from 1 species
CCUGUGACUACGAGUUUAACGGCCGCGGUAUUUUGACCGUGCGAAGGUAAGCGCAAUCACUUGUCUUUUAAAUGGAGACCUGUAUGAAUGGCAUCACGAGGGCUUAACUGUCUCCUUUUCCAGGUCAAUGAAAUUGAUCUCCCCGUGCAGAAGCGGGGAUAAACCCAUAAGACGAGAAGACCCUAUGGAGCUUUAGACACUAAGCAGCUCAUGUUAAAGCCCCCCCGACAAGGGACUAAACUGAGUGAUGCCUGUCCUAGUGUCUUCGGUUGGGGCGACCAUGGGGCAACAAAAAACCCCCACGUGGAACAGAAGCAUGCCUUCCAGAACCAAGAGCUCCCGCUCUAAGAAACAAAACAUUUGACCUUAAAAGACCCGGCAAAGCCGAUUAACGGACCAAGUUACCCUAGGGAUAACAGCGCAAUCCUCUUCAAGAGUCCUUAUCGACAAGAGGGUUUACGACCUCGAUGUUGGAUCAGGGCAUCCUAAUGGUGCAGCC